rnacentral:rRNA from 1 species
GACUACAGGGGUAUCUAAUCCUGUUCGCUCCCCACGCUUUCGUGCCUCAGUGUCAGUUACAGUCCAGUAAGUCGCCUUCGCCACUGGUGUUCCUCCUAAUAUCUACGCAUUUCACCGCUACACUAGGAAUUCCACUUACCUCUCCUGCACUCAAGUUCCUCAGUUUCAAAAGCUUACAGUGGUUAAGCCACUGCCUUUCACUUCUGACUUGAGGAACCACCUACGCACCCUUUACGCCCAGUGAUUCCGGAUAACGCUUGCCCCCUACGUAUUACCGCGGCUGCUGGCACGUAGUUAGCCGGGGCUUCCUCCUGUGGUACCGUCAUUUGUUUCGUCCCACAGGACAGAGCUUUACGACCCGAAGGCCUUCUUCACUCACGCGGCGUUGCUGCAUCAGGCUUGCGCCCAUUGUGCAAUAUUCCCCACUGCAGCCCCCCGUAGG